AAGAAAUUUAAAAAAGCGUUGACAUUCAUUACAAAAAUUGGUAUUAUAAAAAGGUAGCCGAUUUUAAUAAUAUUACCGCGGGAUGGAGCAGUUCGG
rnacentral:ncRNA from 1 species